rnacentral:rRNA from 1 species
GUGCAGCAGGCGAGAAUAGUCUACAAUGGACGAAAGUCUGAUAGUGCGACGCCGUGUGUGCGAUUAAUUCCUUCGGGAUGUAAAGCACUUUUCUAUGAGAUAAAAGCUCUUUAGGUUAAUAGCUUAUUGAGACGGAUAUUAUUAUAGGAAUAAGCUCCGGCUAACUCCGUGCCAGCAGCCGCGGUAAUACGGAAGGAGCGAGCGUUGUCCGGAUUUACUAGGCGUAAAGGGCUAGUAGGCGACUAAUUAAGUUAUAUGUUAAAUCCCACGGCUCAACUGUGGUCCUGCAUGUAAUACUGGUUAGAUAGAGUACUGUAGAGGAAGGCAGAAUUCCUGGAGUAGCGGUGGAAUGCGCAGAUAUCAGGAAGAAUACCAAAAGCGAAGGCAGCCUUCUGGGCAGUUACUGACACUGAAUAGCGAAGGUGUGGGUAGCGAAC